GUUUGAGUGGCAGAGCCCGGUAAUUGUAAAAGAUCUAAAAUCUUUCUGCCAGAGGUUCAAAUCCUCUCUCCAACA
rnacentral:tRNA from 1 species